rnacentral:rRNA from 1 species
AGUGAACGCUGGCGGUAGGCCUAACACAUGCAAGUCGAACGGCAGCACAGGAGAGCUUGCUCUCUGGGUGGCGAGUGGCGGACGGGUGAGGAAUACAUCGGAAUCUACCUUUUCGUGGGGGAUAACGUAGGGAAACUUACGCUAAUACCGCAUACGACCUACGAGUGAAAGUGGGGGACCGCAAGGCCUCACGCGAUUAGAUGAGCCGAUGUCCGAUUAGCUAGUUGGCGGGGUAAUGGCCCACCAAGGCGACGAUCGGUAGCUGGUCUGAGAGGAUGAUCAGCCACACUGGAACUGAGACACGGUCCAGACUCCUACGGGAGGCAGCAGUGGGGAAUAUUGGACAAUGGGCGCAAGCCUGAUUCAGCCAUACCGCGUGGGUGAAGAAGGCCUUCGGGUUGUAAAGCCCUUUUGUUGGGAAAGAAAUCCUGUCGAUUAAUACUCGGUGGGGAUGACGGUACCCAAAGAAUAAGCACCGGCUAACUUCGUGCCAGCCGCCGCAGUAAUAC